UCCAGGGUGCCACCACAAAAUUAUUAUUCGCUACAGGCAGUUGCUGAUGCUGAUUGACGCGUCAUUUCACCUCCUGUCGAAAGAAGAGGGGUUUUAUUUUAUGUUUUCAAAUCAAUGACAAGCCGAGGACAAGAGAAUAUGGCUGCAAGAUAUCGAAGAAUAAGAAAACAUCAUAUUUGAAGCAGGACCUGGUGUGAUACCUAAGGAAUCUUAUUAGGUCAUCCAGAAUCGAGGUUCACAAAACAGUGGAUAAGGCCUUCAGUUCACUUGAGGAUCUAAUUUGGACAUGUGUGGAGGUAUGUCUGCCACUGUUAAAACAGUGGUCGAGAAAACGCUUGUAAAUUACCUUUACCUUUUAAGCGUGUAUGUUUGAAAACCAGCCGACACCAGAGGAAAGCGUGUGGAAAGUGG